rnacentral:rRNA from 1 species
UUAGGGCGGAACGUAGGUAAAUCCGCGUUCUAUUCAGCCUGAGAUGUGAUGCCGAGCCGAUUGUGGUGAAGUGGAUGAUCCUAUGCUGCCGAGAAAAGCCUCUAGUGAGUGUUGUGGCGGCCCGUACCCUAAACCGACUCAGGUGGUCAGGUAGAGAAUACCAAGGCGAUCGGGUGAACUGUGGUUAAGGAACUCGGCAAAUUGCCCCCGUAACUUCGGGAGAAGGGGGACCUCUGCUGGUGAUGGGCUUUACGUUCUGAGCUGGUGGGGGUCGCAGUGGCCAGGGGGAAGCGACUGUUUACUAAAAACACAGGUCCGUGCGAAGUCGUAAGACGAUGUAUACGGACUGACGCCUGCCCGGUGCCGGAACGUUAAGGGGACCGCUUAGCCAACGCGAGUUGGCGAAGGUGAGAACUUAAGCGCCGGUAAACGGCGGUGGUAACUAUAACCAUCCUAAGGUAGCGAAAUUCCUUGUCGGGUAAGUUCCGACCUGCACGAAUGGCGUAACGACUUCCCCGCUGUCUCAACCACAGACCCGGCGAAAUUGCACUACGAGUAAAGAUGCUCGUUUCGCGCAGCAGGACGGAAAGACCCCGGGACCUUCACUACAGCUUGACAUUGGCGUUUGGAACGUCUUGUGUAGGAUAGGUGGGAGACUGGGAAGCUGUCACGCUAGUGAUGGUGGAGUCAUUGGUGAAAUACCACUCUGGUCGUUUUGAACGUCUAACUCUGGUCCGUGAUCCGGAUCGGGGACAGUGUCUGGUGGGUAGUUUAACUGGGGCGGUCCCUCCUAAAGAGUAACGGAGGCGCCCAAAGGUUCCCUCAGCCUGGUUGGCAAUCAGGUGUUGAGUGUAAGUGCACAAGGGAGCUUGACUGUGAGACUGACAGGUCGAGCAGGAGCGAAAGCUGGGACUAGUGAUCCGGCAUCGGCGUGUGGAAGCGGUGUCGCUCAACGGCUAAAAGGUACCCCGGGGAUAACAGGCUGAUCUUCCCCAAGAGUCCAUAUCGACGGGAUGGUUUGGCACCUCGAUGUCGGCUCGUCGCAUCCUGGGGCUGGAGUAGGUCCCAAGGGUUGGGCUGUUCGCCCAUUAAAGCGGUACGCGAGCUGGGUUUAGAACGUCGCGAGACAGUUCGGUCCCUAUCCGCUGCGCGCGCAGGAGACUUGAAGGGGGGCUGUCCCUAGUACGAGAGGACCGGGACGGACGAACCUCUGGUGUGCCAGUUGUACCGCCAGGUGCACGGCUGGUUGGCUACGUUCGGAAGGGAUAACCGCUGAAAGCAUCUAAGCGGGAAGCUCGCCUUGAGAUGAGAUCUCCCACCCUGUGAGGGGGUAAGGCUCCCGGUAGAUCACCGGGUUGAUAGGCCGGAGGUGGAAGCACGGUAACGUGUGGAGCUGACCGGUACUAAUAGGCCGAGGACUUGACUAA